CUGGGAAGCCCCGAGACAGACAUGGCAUCACAACUGACUUCAGCACCACCUCCUCCAGGAAGGAGGCCUUCCCUGACCCCACCUGCUGAUCAUUCUAGGUACUUUACGUGAGCAUGCCCUGUCACUCCAAGAGAUCACGACUGAUCUUCACUUGUCUCCUCCCUCACCCAGGCGAAGGAGCCCAGGUGUGUUUGGGAGCAGCAAAGGGAAGGUGGGAAGAUAUGCUCAAAUCAUAGAUGUUGCCUGCUGCAGUUUUAAUCCAGACUGCCUGGGACUCAAACCUGGUAAGUUACUGGUUCCUUGCCACACGAAGCUCAAUCUCUCCUUUGCUCAACGCAGCCGCCAGGAGAGAAACGGCGUGGGAAGGUAGACAGGAGUAAUUUUCAUCUUUAUUCUCAUUUGCCUUUGUCCAUUUUCUCACCGCCCCCUUCCUUUCAUUUCUAUUUUGUCUUAGAUGCCAGUUUGGGGCUUAAUUGGUAGAAUACAGAGAAGCUGAAGUAAAACAAAGCUCAGUAGACUAUAAGAGAAAAAGGAACCAAAA
ensembl:lncRNA